GACGAACGCUGGCGGCGUGCUUAACACAUGCAAGUCGAGCGGUAAGGCCCUUUCGGGGGUACACGAGCGGCGAACGGGUGAGUAACACGUGGGUGACCUGCCCUCAGCUCUGGGAUAAGCCUGGGAAACCGGGUCUAAUACCGGAUAUGACUCCAUGACGCAUGUUGUGGGGUGGAAAGCCUUGUGCGGCUGAGGAUGGGCCCGCGGCCUAUCAGCUUGUUGGUGGGGUGAUGGCCUACCAAGGCGACGACGGGUAGCCGGCCUGAGAGGGCGACCGGCCACACUGGGACUGAGACACGGCCCAGACUCCUACGGGAGGCAGCAGUGGGGAAUCUUGCGCAAUGGGCGAAAGCCUGACGCAGCGACGCCGCGUGAGGGGUGAC
rnacentral:rRNA from 1 species